rnacentral:lncRNA from 1 species
UAAUUUUUAACUCGAACUAUGACACCCGAAGAGUCCCACAUUGGAUGGAAAUAGAAUUAUAAUUGGGUAUUUAAGAGGACUUCACCCUAGCAAUAAUAACUGGGUUUAAGCAUUUCGGGCUGGUGGUGUGGACCCAACGAGUUAUUAUUGCUAGCGGUCGAGUCGUUAAUUUGGUAUCAGAGUCUGUGAGAUGAGUCUUGGCUGAGAGUCUAUGACAGAGAGUCUGUGACAUCCCGAUAGUUCCACAUCGGAUUGCUAGUGGGCUGGAUCGUUAUACAAACUUGCAGAUUUGUUGCAAUCAACUUGUAUAACACAACCGACCAUCGCUAGAGCAAGUAGCAAAGAGUUUGAUUGUUGGUACCCGAGACCCAAGUUCGAAUCCUAGUUGAUUCACAUUUCCAGCUAAGUUUAUUUCUAAAAUAAAAUAAACGAAGCGGGUAGCAUGCUACCUAUCUCUAAAAAAAAAAACUUGUAUAACACAAUUUAGUUGAGUAAAUAUUGAUAUAUUCGCUAAGAUAAAAGUGAUAUAACAAUGUUGUAAUUGAUAAUGUGCUAAGAACUAAGAUGCUACAACAUUUUUAUAUCAGCAAUGCAUCAGAAUUUUAUCGACUAAAUUGGGUUGUGAGACUUAAUUACAACAAUUCUGAAAGGUCAAACUAGAAAUUGCAAAAAACUAAAGUUUAAGG